UACGUAGGGUGCGAGCGUUAAUCGGAAUUACUGGGCGUAGAGCGUGCGCAGGCGGUUCGUUGUGUCGGCGGUGAAAGCCCCGGGCUCAACCUGGGAAUGGCCGUUGAAACUGGCGAACUGGAGUGUGGCAGAGGGGGGUGGAAUUCCGCGUGUAGCAGUGAAAUGCGUAGAGAUGCGGAGGAACACCGAUGGCGAAGGCAGCCCCCCUGGGCUAACACUGACGCCUCAGGCACGAAAGCGUGGGGAGCAAACAGG
rnacentral:rRNA from 1 species